AUUGAACGCUGGCGGCAGGCCUAACACAUGCAAGUCGAGCGAGCGGCGGACGGGUGAGUAAUGUCUGGGAAACUGCCUGAUGGGGGGGGAUAACUACUGGAAACGGUAGCUAAUACCGCAUACCAUCAGAUGUGCCCAGAUGGGCUUAGCUAGUAGGUGGGGUAACGGCUCACCUAGGCGACGAUCGCUAGCUGGUCUGAGAGGAUGACCAGCCAAACGGGAACUGAGAAAGGGUCCAGAUCCCUACGGGAGGCAGAAGGGGGGAAUAUUGCACAAUGGGCGAAAGCCUGAUGAAGCCAUGCCGGGUGUGUGAAGAAGGCCUUCGGGUUGUAAAGCACUUUCAGCGGGGAGGCGUUACCCGCAGAAGAAGCACCGGCUAACUCCGUGCAAGCAGCCGCGGUAAUU
rnacentral:rRNA from 1 species